GCCCUUGAGGCGCUGCCUGAGGGGCGGCCGGGCGGGCCGGUUCGCCGUGACGGGACGCGGAAGGGGCUCCAACUCCGCGUUCUGCCCCGUCUGAGGAGUUCUGGCUCUCUGAGGGGAGCGUUUCGCCCAGGACGUGAAAGCGUGAGAAACGGAGGCAGCACCGCGGGCCUCGACGCAGAGGAAGGUAAAGCCUGAAGAACCAGUCCCAGCCUCGGGCCAGCUGUGAUGCGACCACGUCGAUAAAUCAGGGCUUGGAGGAAGAAAACCAUCACCAUCUACAGUACGGGUAACAGAAGAACAAAGAGCUGACAUUGCAGCGAGGAUCCUUCAGGAAGCUUGUGGGAAAGCACCUUUCGCCUCUGACGUAGCAUGUGAAAAUACAGCUGGGGAAAGACUGAAGA